UACGUAGGGGGCUAGCGUUGUCCGGAAUCAUUGGGCGUAAAGAGCGUGUAGGCGGCCAGGUAGGUCCGUUGUGAAAACUCGAGGCUCAACCUCGAGACGUCGAUGGAAACCAUCUGGCUAGAGUCCGGAAGAGGAGAGUGGAAUUCCUGGUGUAGCGGUGAAAUGCGCAGAUAUCAGGAAGAACACCUAUGGCGAAGGCAGCUCUCUGGGACGGUACUGACGCUGAGACGCGAAAGCGUGGGGAGCGAACCGG
rnacentral:rRNA from 1 species